CCUACGGGCGGCUGCAGUGAGGAAUAUUGGUCAAUGGCCGAGAGGCUGAACCAGCCAAGUCGCGUGAGGGAAGACGGCCCUACGGGUUGUAAACCUCUUUUGUCGGGGAGCAAAGCGAGUCACGUGUGACUCAUUGAGAGUACCCGAAGAAAAAGCAUCGGCUAACUCCGUGCCAGCAGCCGCGGUAAUACGGGGGAUGCGAGCGUUAUCCGGAUUGAUUGGGUUUAGAGGGUGCGCAGGCGGAGGUGCAAGUCAGCGGUCAAAUUGCGGGGCUCAACCCCGUACUGCCGUUGAAACUGGAUACCUUGAGUGCGGGAGAGGUAUGCGGAAUGCGUGGUGUAGCGGUGAAAUGCAUAGAUAGCACGCAGAACUCCGUUUGCGAAGGCAGCAGACCGGCGCGCAACUGACGCUCAUGCACGAAAGCGUGGGUAUCGAACAGGAUUAGAUACCCGAGUAGUC
rnacentral:rRNA from 1 species